rnacentral:tRNA from 1 species
GGCGGUGUGGCCUAGUUGGUAAAGUGCCAACUAGAAGGUCCUGGGUUCAAUCCCCACUCUCUCCCA